rnacentral:lncRNA from 1 species
CUGAGAGAAUUUUUUGUUGGGCAGCUCUUCUUUGUUUGAAACAAAGCUUUGCCCUAAACCCGGUAAAAAACAAUGAUAAAUUUCAUAUUUCAUGCCAUUAUACAUGAUAUAGUUGAUGUUAAAAUAAUGAUAGGAAACAAGGGCAAAGUUCUGCAUUGAAAAGUAUAAUUUACCCCUUGACAGCGGAACUGCAGUAGAAGAGAGAAUAUGUAUGUAAAUCAAAAGAAACACGAAAAGCGUAAGAUAAACCUUCAUUUUCAUGUUGAGAUUGUAGGUAGAAUUCAAUAGAAAGUAAUGUGAAAAUGGAGAAGGUUGAUGGUUUUGAUUUGAC